rnacentral:rRNA from 1 species
AACAAACGCUGGCGGCGUGCCUAAUACAUGCAAGUCGAACGGGGAAAGUUCUUCGGAAUGAGUACUAGUGGCGUACGGGUGAGCAACACGUGGAUAAUCUUCCUUCAGGUGGGGAAUAACGAGUCGAAAGAUUCGCUAAUACCGCAUAAGACCACAGUAACUUUGGUUACAGGGGUUAAAGACUUCGGUCGCCUUUAGAUGAGUCUGCGUCCGAUUAGCUAGUUGGUGAGGUAAUGGCUCACCAAGGCGACGAUCGGUAACUGGUCUGAGAGGACGGCCAGUCACACUGGGACUGAGACACGGCCCAGACUCCUACGGGAGGCAGCAGUAGGGAAUUUUGCACAAUGGAGGAAACUCUGAUGCAGCGACGCCGCGUGAGUGAUGAAGGCCUUCGGGUCGUAAAGCUCUGUUCUCAGGGAAUAAAAAAAUAGAAGGUACCUGAGGAGAAAGGACCGGCUAACUUCGUGCCAG